GACCUGAUAGCACAAUGUCGAGUGCGUCUGCUCCAUAUUACAAUAUGCUGCAUGAGAUACCAUUUGCAGGAGACCCCGGUUCGAGUCCGGGUCAGGUCG